GCACCACUGCACUCCAGCCUGGGUGACAGAGCGAGACUGUCUCAAAACAAAAACAAAACAAAACAAAAAAAAUUCCAACUAGGGAAGAACCUAAUUAACAUUUAACAAGCUCUACACAAAAGUCAUAAAAUAAAAUACAGUUGAAUAGAAGAGAUAAGGAAAGGCAGGGUGUUAUCUAUUAAUUUCACUUAUGAACAUAGUGUUACCUGCAGGUCUUUUUUCUUAGAGUUCCCAAGAUGGUGGCAGGCUGCUCCCAAGGGCGCUGCUCCCAAGAUGGCGGGAAGCCUUUUGUUCUCUGACCUGGGGUUCUUGGCCUCACAGAUUCCAAGGAAUGGAACCUUGGGCCAUGCGCUUUUGAAAAAAACAAACUGAGAAAUCAUUUGUGGGGUAAAAAAGAUAUGGACAGCAAUAAGUACUUACCUCUAUAUUGAAUGAUAGGUCAGAUGUUGAAGUGGUCACUUCCAGUGUGGUUUUAUUUGGAACUGGGACCUCUAAGAAAGCAAUUAAGGUUAAAUGAGGUUGCUCUGAUCUGACAGUAUUAGUGCAUUUAUAAGAAGAGAAAUUAGGGAGCUAUCCAGCCCCAAUGAGAAAGAAGAGGUCACAUAAGCACACAGCAAGAAGGCUGCUGUCUACACGUCUAGAGAAGAGGCCUCAGAAAGAAGCCAGCCUUGCCAGCAAUUUGAUCUUGGACAUUUUAGCCUUGAGAACUGUGAAAAUAAAUUUCUGUUGUUUAAGUUACCCAAUCUGUAGCAUUUUGUUAUGGCAGCUAUAGCAGACAAGUGUGGUAUACUAACUAAAUAAAACUUAUUUUUUAAAAAAUGGACAAAGAAUUUGAAUUGACACUUUUCCAAAAAUGUUAUACAAUAUGCAGUAUGUACAUGAAAAGAGAGUCAGUAUCAUUAGCCAUCAGGUAAAUACCAAUGAAAACCAUGAGACACCACUCACAUCCACUAGAAAUUGCAUAUAAUAUUCCCACAAAAAUUGUAUAUAAAUUUGUACAGCAGCAUUAUUCAUAGUAGCCAAAAAGUGAAAAUAAUUCAACUGUCCAUCAUUCAAUGAAUGGGUUAAAAAAUUUAAUGUGUCGAUAAAAUGGAAUAUAAUUUGCCACAAAAAGUAAUAAAAUGCUAAUAUAUACAACAUGGAUGAAUCUUGCAAAAAUUAUGUUAAGUGGAAGAAGCUAGACCCAAAAGGACGCAUAUAGUAUAAUCCUAUUUAUAUGAAGUUUCCUAAAUGGGCAAACUCAUAGAGACAGAAAGUAGAUUCGUGGUUGUCGGUAUCUAAGGAAAAGUGGGAAUGAAAAAUGAUUGCUCAUGGACAUGGCAUUUCUUUUUGACAUAAUAAAAAUAUUCUAAAAUUAGAGGUGUUGAUAUCAAAAAUGCAUAUACUAAAAUCCACUGAAUUACAAAUUUUAAAAGGGUGAAUUUUAUAAAUUAUAAAUUAUAUUUCAAUAAAGAUGUUAUGAAAACUCAAAACAAAUAAUAAAAAAAGUAUUUUCUAUUGCUAUGAAGUUUCAAAAUAGUCAGUGGGGUACACAUAGGUGGUAGUAAAAGUAAAAAGAGAGCAAAGAUAUAUUUGCCAGAAAGUUAGGAGAACGAAUAUUUUCAAGAACAAGGAAAGGGUGUAUGAUCAGGGAAGGACACAAAAGAGGCUUCUGUAGCAACCGUAUUAAAAUAUCUACCUUUCUAUCACAUCUGGAUGGCUAAUCAGUAUUCACUAUUGCAGCUCUAAUGAGAAAUAAUUUAGACUAUAAAAACAACAGUAUCAUAUAGUUAUUGAGACCCCCAAAGUGACUCAUCUGUCUGCUGAGUUUUUUCUUGCUGGUUGUCUUGUUUAUUAUUUAUGUUAAUAAAUCAGAUCUUCUACAGUGCAUUAUAUUGGCUAUUCUCUGUUCCUACCCACUCCCCC
rnacentral:lncRNA from 1 species